rnacentral:lncRNA from 1 species
CCCAUGUUUUAAGUCCAUGCAUGUCUCAUCGCACGUGCAUCCUUUUGCAUAUAACGGAGGUCAUACGUUGAAUAAAUCACUAGGUAUAUACGUACAUAACCCAAAAUAUCUUAGGUAUGUUUUGUAUUCGAAAUAUGUUGGUUAUAUAUUAGAUACCCAUAUGUCACGUAGCCGGAUAUAUACAUAGCCAUGUUUUACUUUAGAUAUAUGUCACGUAGACUGGGUAUGUACGCUCGUCGCCAGCCACACGAUUUUCAAAAUUAACUAAAAACCGUAAGGAAUCUUAAAAAUAUUUCAACAUAUGAAAGUUAUGCCUCGUCCGUAGCUUUCCAACGGCGUAUCAUACGCCUCGUUUCGACAAACGGUUGAAAAACUGGAACAAAAACAGUACCGAAAAUAUAUAUUUUUUAAAAAAACCGAAUUUCGCGAUUUAGUAAAUUUAAAACUGCUCUUAAACCAUAACGAAUUAGAGAAAAUAAUAGAUAUGAAAAAGAUGUGCCUAGACGAUAUCUUUCUAACGGUGUAUCAUUUGCUUCAUUCCGACGAGCGGUUUAGAAAAAAACGCUCGCUGCCAUUCGUCAUGAGCCGCACCUUUUUUAAACUGCUCUUAAACUAUUAUGAAUCUUGAAAAGUGUUCAACAUGGUGUAGUUGUGCCUAAUUCAUAGCUUCUCAACGGUAUAUUACACGCGUCGUUCCAAUAAACGGUUAAAAAACUAGAGCGAAAAAGGUACCGAAAAACACACCGUGUGCAAUUUUUUCCAACACAAAGUUCACUAGUCUCUGUAUUGCAGUAUCUUUGCUACUGAAAAUGCAGUGACCUCGCGUUGAGCGUGCAGUGCAGAAGUGUUAUCAGAAUAGUUAUUCUGCUAAUAUUAGCAGAAUAGACCGGCUAUCUAUAUAUAUACGCUGGUCAAAACGACUCAAAUUAGUUGAAUAACGCGAAUUUGAGUCGUUUUGACCGGCUAUCUAUAUAUAUAGGACGCCAAUUUGGGACACCUAGGUGCCUGGGCACCUCGCUUAAAAACCAUUGGAUGACACUAAGAUCUGUGCGCGUAAUUAGUAUUAGCAUUGAUGGGUAAAUCUUAUUAGGAAAGAAUUAUUGCUUGAUAUGGACACUUAAUACCUUCCCAGAUUAGAUAGGAUAGAGAAAAUCAGUAAUAAAUAGCCCAUGUUUUAAGUCCAUGCAUGUCUCAUCGCACGUGCAUCCUUUUGCAUAUAACGGAGGUCAUACGUUGAAUAAAUCACUAGGUAUAUACGUACAUAACCCAAAAUAUCUUAGGUAUGUUUUGUAUUCGAAAUAUGUUGGUUAUAUAUUAGAUACCCAUAUGUCACGUAGCCGGAUAUAUACAUAGCCAUGUUUUACUUUAGAUAUAUGUCACGUAGACUGGGUAUGUACAAUAUUUUCCAAGAUGUUUUUUACACAACCGGGUAUAUAAGUGUGCAGAUACAUUGGGUAUUUCCACUUGAGGUAUAUACGUCGACCGGGUAUUACAAUAUUUUCUUCAGUAGGUAUUGGAUAGUUAGGAAACAAAAAUAAAAUGCAAUUAGUCAAAUAACAAAUUCUUGGGUAUAUACAUACCCGCGUAUGUACAUACUUUUGUUAGUAAGUAUAAGACACCCAUUUUAGAUAAUUGGGAAACAAAUAAAUGUAAUAGUUUAAAAAAUAAAUUAUUGAAUAUAUACAUACCUAUGUACAUAAUUUCAUUGGUAGGUAUUAGAUACCUGUAUUAGAUAGUUGGGGAACAAAAAUACGCGUAUUAGAUACCUGUAUCAAUUCUAACAAAAUCAAUAUUAUGACGUUUUAUUGUAUGGCAAGUCUUGCAUGCCUAAUAAUUAGAAAAAAACAAAUAAAACAUAAGCAGGGAAAGUCUUGCAUGAAGAAUAGUUAGGAAACAAAUUAAAUAUAGGACGGUUUCCAAAACAAUCAAGGUGCCCAGGCACCUAGGUGCCCCAAACAAU